rnacentral:rRNA from 1 species
UACAGAGGUCCCAAGCGUUGUUCGGAUUCACUGGGCGUAAAGGGUGCGUAGGUGGUCAGGUAAGUCGGAUGUGAAAUCUCCGAGCUCAACUCGGAAACUGCAUUGGAAACUACCUGGCUCGAGGGUUGGAGGGGGGACUGGAAUGCUUGGUGUAGCAGUGAAAUGCGUAGAUAUCAAGCGGAACACCAGUGGCGAAGGCGGCCAGCUGGGCCGUCCCUGACGCUGAGGUGCGAAGGCGUGGGGAGCGAACGGG